rnacentral:rRNA from 1 species
UAAGUGUUAGGGGGNUUUCCGCCCCCUUAGUGCUGCAGGUAACCGCAUUAAGCACUCCGNCCUGGGGAGUACGGUCGCAAGACUGAAACUCAAAGGAAUUGACGGGGGCCCGCACAAGCGGUGGAGCAUGUGGUUUAAUUCGAAGCAACGCGAAGAACCUUACCAGGUCUUGACAUCCUCUGACAAUCCUAGAGAUAGGACGUCCCCUUCGGGGGCAGAGUGACAGGUGGUGCAUGGUUGUCGUCAGCUCGUGUCGUGAGAUGUUGGGUUAAGUCCCGCAACGAGCGCAACCCUUGAUCUUAGUUGCCAGCAUUCAGUUGGGCACUCUAAGGUGACUGCCGGUGACAAACCGGAGGAAGGUGGGGAUGACGUCAAAUCAUCAUGCCCCUUAUGACCUGGGCUACACACGUGCUACAAUGGACAGAACAAAGGGCAGCGAAACCGCGAGGUUAAGCCAAUCCCACAAAUCUGUUCUCAGUUCGGAUCGCAGUCUGCAACUCG